rnacentral:rRNA from 1 species
GAUGAACGCUGGCGGCGUGCCUAAUACAUGCAAGUCGAGCGAACAGACGAGGAGCUUGCUCCUCUGACGUUAGCGGCGGACGGGUGAGUAACACGUGGAUAACCUACCUAUAAGACUGGGAUAACUUCGGGAAACCGGAGCUAAUACCGGAUAAUAUAUUGAACCGCAUGGUUCAAUAGUGAAAGACGGUUUUGCUGUCACUUAUAGAUGGAUCCGCGCCGCAUUAGCUAGUUGGUAAGGUAACGGCUUACCAAGGCAACGAGACGCAGCCGACCUGAGAGGGUGGUCGGCAACAGUGGAACUGAGACACGAGCCAGACCCCUACGGGAGGCAGCAGUAGGGAAGCUUCCGCAAGGGGCGAAAUCCUGACGGAUCAACGCAGCGUGAGUAAGAAAGGUCUUCGGACCGGAAAACUCUUUUAGUAGGGAAAAACAAAUGGGUAAGUAACUAGGCACGUCUUGACGGUACCUAAUCAGAAAGCCACGGCUAACUACGUC